rnacentral:rRNA from 1 species
CAGCAGCCACGGUAAUACGUAGGGUGCAAGCGUUAAUCGGAAUUACUGGGCGUAAAGCGUGCGCAGGCGGUUUUGUAAGACAGAGGUGAAAUCCCCGGGCUCAACCUGGGAACUGCCUUUGUGACUGCAAGGCUAGAGUACGGCAGAGGGGGAUGGAAUUCCGCGUGUAGCAGUGAAAUGCGUAGAUAUGCGGAGGAACACCGAUGGCGAAGGCAAUCCCCUGGGCCUGUACUGACGCUCAUGCACGAAAGCGUGGGGAGCAAACAGGAUUAGAUACCCCGGUAGUCCCUGUCUCUUAUAC